rnacentral:rRNA from 1 species
UACGUAGGGUGCGAGCGUUGUCCGGAAUUAUUGGGCGUAAAGAGCUCGUAGGCGGUGUGUCACGUCGGCCGUGAAAACCUGCAGCUUAACUGUGGGCGUGCGGUCGAUACGGGCAUCACUGGAGUUCGGCAGGGGAGACUGGAAUUCCUGGUGUAGCGGUGAAAUGCGCAGAUAUCAGGAGGAACACCGGUGGCGAAGGCGGGUCUCUGGGCCGAUACUGACGCUGAGGAGCGAAAGCGUGGGGAGCAAAUGGG